rnacentral:lncRNA from 1 species
GGAUUUGAGUGGGGAGGCCAAAGAAGAGCCAGCCAUAACAGCACAUUCUCGGCUUAUUCCAGGGGUGUGUUUCGUCGAGAUGCACACAAGAGUGAGGUUGCUCAUCGGUUUAAAGAUUUGGGAGAAGAAAAUUUCAAAGCCUUGGUGUUGAUUGCCUUUGCUCAGUAUCUUCAGCAGUGUCCAUUUGAAGAUCAUGUAAAAUUAGUGAAUGAAGUAACUGAAUUUGCAAAAACAUGUGUUGCUGAUGAGUCAGCUGAAAAUUGUGACAAAUCACUUCAUACCCUUUUUGGAGACAAAUUAUGCACAGUUGCAACUCUUCGUGAAACCUAUGGUGAAAUGGCUGACUGCUGUGCAAAACAAGAACCUGAGAGAAAUGAAUGCUUCUUGCAACACAAAGAUGACAACCCAAACCUCCCCCGAUUGGUGAGACCAGAGGUUGAUGUGAUGUGCACUGCUUUUCAUGACAAUGAAGAGACAUUUUUGAAAAAAUACUUAUAUGAAAUUGCCAGAAGACAUCCUUACUUUUAUGCCCCGGAACUCCUUUUCUUUGCUAAAAGGUAUAAAGCUGCUUUUACAGAAUGUUGCCAAGCU